rnacentral:rRNA from 1 species
AUUGAACGCUGGCGGCAUGCUUUACACAUGCAAGUCGAACGGCAGCGCGGGCUUCGGCCUGGCGGCGAGUGGCGAACGGGUGAGUAAUACAUCGGAACGUGCCCAGUAGUGGGGGAUAGCUCGGCGAAAGCCGGAUUAAUACCGCAUACGACCUGAGGGUGAAAGCGGGGGAUCUUCGGACCUCGCGCUAUUGGAGCGGCCGAUGGCAGAUUAGCUAGUUGGUGGGGUAAAGGCCUACCAAGGCGACGAUCUGUAGCUGGUCUGAGAGGACGACCAGCCACACUGGGACUGCGACACGGCCCAGACUCCUACGGGAGGCAGCAGUGGGGAAUUUUGGACAAUGGGCGAAAGCCUGAUCCAGCAAUGCCGCGUGUGUGAUGAAGGCCUUCGGGUUGUAAAGCACUUUUGGCGGGAACGAAAAGGACUGUGCCAAUACCACGGUUCGAUGACGGUACCCGCAGAAUAAGCACCGGCUAACUACGUG